GGGGAAUAUUGCACAAUGGACGAAAGUCUGACGGAGCAAGGCCGCGUGAGUGAAGAAGGCCUUCGGGUCGUAAAACUCUGUUGCCGGGGAAGAACAAGUGCCGUUCGAACAGGGCGGCGCCUUGACGGUACCCGGCCAGAAAGCCACGGCUAACUACGUGCCAGCAGCCGCGGUAAUACGUAGGUGGCAAGCGUUGUCCGGAAUUAUUGGGCGUAAAGCGCGCGCAGGCGGCUUCUUAAGUCUGAUGUGAAAUCUUGCGGCUCAACCGCAAGCGGUCAUUGGAAACUGGGAGGCUUGAGUGCAGAAGAGGAGAGUGGAAUUCCACGUGUAGCGGUGAAAUGCGUAGAGAUGUGGAGGAACACCAGUGGCGAAGGCGGCUCUCUGGUCUGUAACUGACGCUGAGGCGCGAAAGCGUGGGUAGCAAAC
rnacentral:rRNA from 1 species